AGGAGGAAGGCAUGAGGAUGGAUGCACCCAGGGAGCCGGGAGCCACAGGGGAUCCGUUUUUUUCUCCGGGCUGAUCAUUUCAUCGGCAAUUAUGGAAGUUCAGCAGAUCCUUUCUCUUCUGCCAGAAGCAAAUAGGCGAUUGCCUCAGAAGAGGAGAAUGAAUAAACCUCACAAAACUCACACAGACCUCACAUAACUCAUUCGUGUUAAAAGACUUUCCGCACCGUGCUGCCAGCGUUGUUAAAACGUCACCUGUUAUUUAUGCCGCCGCAGCCGAAUGUUUCAUUUAUGACUGUAAAUGAGCAGCAAGCUUGACGAACAAAUGAAGAUGCUGAGUCUCAUCCUGUGUAACCCCGUGCCUGCCGCUGCCCUUGGGCGUUGCAGCCAAGCACGGGCAGACCCGGGCUAUACUUGCCGCAGGCCUGUGCUUCACGGGAGCUUUCGCACUGAUGUCGCAGUCUCACGUUUCAUAAAGUUCGGUGCUAAUUGAAAAGUACUUACUCCUGUUUGUUUAACUCAAGCGCCUAGUGCUGCCUGUGUGGUUUUCAUAGGGAGGAAUAGCCAACGACCCUGCUGCUAAUGAAGAAUUGAAGUUCGAGCAUAAAGUAGUGAUUAAGUGUAGGUCACCUAUGAAAAAUGCCUUUGCCUGUCCAGAGCUGUUGUAUUUCUUCAGCGCACAGGGGAUUUUUCUGAAACUCCUGAAGCUAAGCUGCCAGGAGGUUAUAAACCAAAAGGCAUUCAAUUAGAGCCUGUCUAUUCUUCACCAGGGGUGCCCAGGCUUCCUUGCCCUGCAAGCCACGUAUCAACCCCCCUGCACAGCGAGAAGCCCUGUGCUGCUCUACCUAAAACUGCUGAGGAGAUCCCUGGGAGAUGUUCCCUGGUGAGAAAUGACCCGUCUGCGUAGCUCGCCGCACCUCCCAGCCUUCCACCGGCACUUCCAGGCUGGGAGGCGGCUGUUGGGUCCCAGGCUACUGGGGGCUGUUGGACCUGGCAGCCCACCCCUAUAGCUGGGGCUUGGGUGGAUGACAACGUCCCAAGAAGAGGAGCUGGAUGCUACAGGUUUGGAGACAGUGCUCGUGAAACAAUCUUGUACUUGCUGGGGAUGAUAAAUAGAUUUUUCUUUUAGAAAGGGUCAAAACGAGUCACUCGGAGAGCUGGAAACUGGUGGUUCCCUCUGUGGAAAUGCUGACAAACUCCGCUGUGUGCAGGCAGACCACUUCCAAGCCUGGAAUAGUCCAUUUGGUACUUUCCAAAGACAAUUUCCAGAGGUCAGCUACAGUCUGGAAAUGUUACAAGGAAAAAUGUUAGCAUAAAAGUAAGAAUAUUGUUUUGGAAAAAAAACUAAUUAGAUUCCCCCAAACCCACAACCUGUCAUUCCUUGAGAGGCUUUUUGGUCGCAAAUCCUUCUUAGUAAAGACAAGAAGUGAAAGUGGCAACCAAUAACGAUCAUUACAAACCUUAUUAUAUAUAACAAAUGUCAAUAACAGAAAGUCUGAUAGCUGUGCAAACAAGUCACCAGCUAGGAAAGCGACAGCUGAUGGAGGAAGAUAAAACAUUAAUGAAAAAAUCCUGGGUUUAAGGAUUAAGGGCAAGAAGGCAUUAUUUAAGUAUACUGAGACCUAAUGAAAUCCUUGCUAUCAUACAGGAGAACAGGAUUCAAAGGGACCUCUUGGAUCAUUAAAUCCUCCUGCUAUCUGUAGUGCCAUACCAAAUAAUCCUCUUCAUGGAAAUAGCAAUAUUAAUUUUAAAGUAGUUCUUUUUGUCCCCAGAUCCCAAGGGGUGGAGGGGAGUGUAGAAACCAUUUUAGAACCUGGUGAUUUGGUUGGUUAUAACCACCUUGUGAUUUCAUACUUAAAUUUGUUUUUUGGCAUUUCACACCCAUUUUCUCUGGCAAAAACAUCAGUCAGCAAGUUCAGUAAUGUCUCUUCCCUUUGUUAGCCCCUGUAGGUCCAGUGUUAAAGAAGGCAGAGUUGCCAAUUGUGAUACACAAAAAGAAGAAAUAUUCGUUGAAUAUUUAUGUUCUGUAUUUGGAAAGAAAUGGGAUGUGCUUAUUUCACAGGAAAGAAGGAAUACUUUCUCUCUCAUUGGUAGCAACGGAGGAUGUCAAAUAGCAACGAUUAUAUCAAGAUACAGUAGCAGUACAGAAUAUUUGCAACCAAGAAUACUGAAAGAAUUGUCUGAGGAGCUUCCUGAAUCACUGACAGUGAUUUGUAAAAAAUCUUGAAAGACAAGGGAAGAUCAGAAAAGUGCUGAAGUUACGCUGUUGAUUAAACAGCAUGAACCAGAGUUGUCCUCAGAAAUUAUUAUGUCCUGGGCACCGCUUCUCUGCAUGUACAGAAGACUUGGUUGUAUGUCUGUCUGGUCUCUCCCGCAGACAGACGGAGCACCUAUGCAGCUGGUACAGCAUGUCUGGUGCCAUGCUGAUCACAAGCUAGCCAGCAGCAUGCCAGCCUCUUCAAACUUGCGCAGUAGCGGUGUCGGCUCACCCCACAGCACGUGCAUCCUUACGAGCUCCCCAGUGGAUGAGCCCUUCAAUUCCCAGAGGACCGCAGAGUACCAGCAAGAGCAUCGCACCACAGCGUCUCAAAGACAGCAGGAGAAAUAAGGACUACUAAGAACAGAGCAAUCCUUCCAGCAUUGACUGAGCCAUUCAGGACUACAGCUGUUAAAUGCCGGCACAAGCAGGUCACACUGGCAGAUCCUUCCCACCUCCCACCUACUGACUGGUCUUAAAGUCAAGAACUGUACCCUGCUCUGAGCACUUGGCUUUUUUGAUUUAUUUAUUGUAAAAACUGAGCUAAAGAGGGAGAAGUACCACCGCUGAGUGUAUCUGUUAAUCUCAGAGGUUAAAAGUGAUUGCUCACACUUUGUAUCCAAAAAAUGUCAACAUGCAGACCUCUGUGUAAACUGUGCCUAUGGAAGGGAAUCUAAACAGUGUUUGCUUUGUACAAGAUGAAGAGGAACGUGCAAAAAAGCAAAACCCAUCAAAGACAAGGCAACUAGCAGUUUUACUGUUAAUACAUGUAAAUGCAAUAGAAAACUGGAGCUUUGCGCUCUAGUAACUUGGGUUUAAAGCACAGCCUGCUUCAACUUCACAAGAAUGUUUUUACCUUACCGUAACGACAGGGAGACUGGUUCCAGUGCUGCUUUUUGUUGCGCUUUGCCCAGUGGCUGCUGAAAGGGGCUAUCUAUCUCCCCUGUCCCAGCCGUGCAACUGUGGCGUGAGCUGAGGGAACAAGCUGAUCUGUCAGCAGACUGACACAGCCAAAAAGCAAAUAAUUUCAGCACGUUGAUCUGACUUAGACUUGUGACCUCGCAAGAAGCGAUACAAGGGAUGGAGCACAAGGCAAGGGAGAGAUGGCUGGUGUAAUGUCAGAUUAAGUCAGGCCAGGACUGACCUAUCAUCAUCAACACAAAGCCCAACUGAAUGGUCAUACGUGACUUAAAGACACUCAGAGCAGUAGUCUUGGUUGGUUUUGGUUUGGUUUUUUUUUUCCCCGUUUAUAAAGUAAGGGGAGGAUUGAUUGAAAACUCAGGUGGCUGGCCUGGUGCCACUCCCAUAAAUAAUGUUAAAAUGGCCCUGUGCUAAGUUUGCUGGCCCACAGCUGUGCUAAGGGCUCCCCUGCGCUCACCAUUCGGGAAGGACGGAGAGCCACUCAUCCCACCGACUGUCCGCUGCCUGUCUUCAAAUACAGCUCGGCAUACACCGUCUCCAAGGAUGGCACGGCAUCCUGGUUUCUGUGCUUCUGCAUCAGCCACAUUUGGUUAGGGUGACAUAAAGUUUCCAACCCCUCCGAUGUGGCUCUUGUGUCUGAAAUGUUUUGUGGUGAUUCCAUAGCCUUGGCCCUAAAACUCUUUUUCCCUCUGC